AAACUUGCCUCGAGAUGAGUCUUCCCUGACCCUUUAAGGGUCCUGAAGGAACGUUUGAGACUAAGACGUUGAUAGGCUGGGUGUGUAAGCGCAGCGAUGCGUUGAGCUGACCAGUACUAAUGAACCGAGAGGCUUAACCUGACAACACCGAAGGUGUUU
rnacentral:rRNA from 1 species